UGUAAGCACAUGCCUUAAAACGGUAAAGCCGCGAAUGGCUCGGUAUAACAGCCACUGUUUAUUAAACUCUAGUAAUCUACUUGGAUAACUGUGGCAAUUCUAGAGCUAAUACAUGCACGCAGGCUCGGACCUUUUGGGAAGAGCGCAUUUAUUAGACCAAAACCAAUCGGGCUUCGGCCUGUGUUUUGGUGACUCUGAAUAACUAAGUCGAUCGCACAGUCUUAGUACUGGCGACGUAUUUUUCAAAUGUCUGCCUUAUCAACUUUCGAUGGUAGGUUAUACGCCUACCAUGGUUAUAACGGGUAACGGAGAAUUAGGGUUCGACUCCGGAGAGGGAGCCUGAGAAAUGGCUACCACAUCCAAGGAAGGCAGCAGGCGCGCAAAUUACCCAAUCCCAGAACGGGGAGGUAGUGACGAAAAAUAACGAGGUAAUCCACUUUGUGGCUUGCCAUCGGAAUGGGCACAAUAUAAA
rnacentral:rRNA from 1 species